rfam:Picea glauca, whole genome shotgun sequence.
ACAUGCCUACAACAUAGCGUUAAUGCAUUGAAUCCCAUAAGAACUUCGUAGUUAAGCACGCUUGGGCUAGAGUAGUACUGGGAUAGGUGACCGCCCAGAAAGUCCUAGUGUUUUACAUGCC